rnacentral:snRNA from 1 species
GUGAUUGCCCCAGCAGCACAUAUACUGAAGAUUGGAAUGAUACAGAGAAGAUUAGCAUGGCCCCUGCAUAAGGAUGACACUUAACUCAUCCAGCACUUAUUU